rnacentral:rRNA from 1 species
GACAGAGGCCUCGAGCGUUAGGCGGAAUCACUGGGCUUAAAGCGUGUGUAGGCGGAUCGUUAAGUACCUUGUGAAAUCCCACGGCUCAACCGUGGAACGGCUGGGUAUACUGGCGGUCUUGGGCCAUUCAGGGGCGACUGGAACAAGCGGUGGAGCGGUGAAAUGCGUAGAUAUCGCGUGGAACGCCGAAGGUGAAAACAGGUCGCUGGGGAUGUGCCGACGCUGAGACACGAAAGCCAGGGGAGCAAACGGG